UCAGUUAUCAUACGGCUGUAAUUAGCACAAGAGCUGCCUGCUACCGAAUGCUGCCCCCUUUUGCUUUGCCAGCCUUUGGUCCUACAAUUCUUAUGCAAGUGUGCCGCCCCAUAUACUUCAAUGGGACAGCUCAUUGAUGCUCUGAAAUGUUCCUGCAAUAUCUAUGCUACUUAUGGGUGAACAUCAAAAAGUUCUGAGGCUCAAAAUAUUGGAGAGGGAGGCAACAUGGAAGCAGGUUUUGGGGAUGAGGAAGAUGAUGAUGAUGAUGAGGUUGUAGAUAGCUCACUGCAAGCAAGCGGAGAAACCGGUUUUCCCGACAGCCAGGAACUGUUUCUCAUGCUGGACCUGGAGCCAGUACCCCCCGAACCCACCCAUGGCUGCCUCCCGGACCGGCCAGGCGGAGAAGGGACCUCUGCUGCAUGCGUUUCAAGGAUCACAGGAUCUUCUCCUUCCCAGAGGCUAGCGAAGAUUAGAAGGCGAAAAAAACACAGUCGCGAUGAAAUGUUCUCUGACCUCAUGCUGUCCUCCCACACUGACAGAGAACAGACAAAUGCGUGGAGGCAGACAAUGUCAGAGUGCAGGAAAGCACAAAAUGAAUGUGAGGAAAGGUGGUGGGCUGAAGAGAGGGCUGAAGCUGAAAGGUGGCGGCAGUGUGAUGAGAGGAGGCAGGAUUCAAUGCUGAGGCUGCUGGAGGAUCAAACUAAUAUGCUCCAGCGUAUAGUUGAAAGGCAGCUGGAGCACAGACCAUCACUACAGCCCCUCUGUAACCAACCACCCUCCUCCCCAAGUACCAUAACCUCCUCACCCAGACGCCCAAGAACGUGGUCGGGGGGGGGGGCCUCCAGCCACCCAGCCACUCCACCCCAGAGGAUUUCCCAAGCAACAGAAGUCUGGCAUUCAAUAAGUUUUAAAGUUUAAACUUUUAAAGUGCUGUGUGGCCUUGUCCUUCCCUCCUCCACCACCCCACCUGCUGCUUCCCUCCUCCACCACCCCUCCGAGGCUACCUUGGCAGUUAUCCCCCUAUUUGUGUGAUGAAUUAAUAAA